UACAGAGGGUGCGAGCGUUGUCCGGAAUCACUGGGCGUAAAGGGCGCGUAGGCGGUUUGGCAAGUCUAUGGUGAAAGCUCGCCGCUCAACGGCGAGUCGGCCACGGGAUACUGCUGAACUGGAGCACUGUAGAGGCAGGUGGAAUUCCGGGUGUAGCGGUGGAAUGCGUAGAGAUUGGGAAGAACACCGGUGGCGAAAGCGCUCUGCUGGGCCGCAACUGACACUGAAUG
rnacentral:rRNA from 1 species